GGGAGAAGGAGGACCGCUGACAGAGUUAGACUCUGAGGAAAGUCCCCUCUCCAAAGUGCAAGUGGUUCGCAGAAGUGAAAAAACAGAGAUGUUUAGGUUAAUGCUGCAGAAACGAACGAUACAGGGUGUGUACAAUGAUGUUGAAAGACGGAGAUUGCCUUGUUGUCGAUGAGACGAACAACCCCACUGGAGCAAGUCCAAACCGCUACGAUAGAGCUGCACGCUCUGUAGCAGGUAGGACGCUUAGUUGAAUGUGGUCGCCGAAAGGUAACAGAAAGGGGCUUACUCCCUUCUCCC
rnacentral:RNase_P_RNA from 1 species